GACGAACGCUGGCGGCGUGCUUAACACAUGCAAGUCGAACGGAAAGGCCCUGCUUUUGUGGGGUGCUCGAGUGGCGAACGGGUGAGUAACACGUGAGUAACCUGCCCUUGACUUUGGGAUAACUUCAGGAAACUGGGGCUAAUACCGGAUAGGAGCUCCUGCUGCAUGGUGGGGGUUGGAAAGUUUCGGCGGUUGGGGAUGGACUCGCGGCUUAUCAGCUUGUUGGUGGGGUAGUGGCUUACCAAGGCUUUGACGGGUAGCCGGCCUGAGAGGGUGACCGGCCACAUUGGGACUGAGAUACGGCCCAGACUCCUACGGGAGGCAGCAGUGGGGAAUAUUGCACAAUGGGCGGAAGCCUGAUGCAGCAACGCCGCGCGCGGGAUGACGGCCUUCGGGUUGUAAACCGCUUUCGCCUGUGACGAAGCGUGAGUGACGGUAAUGGGUAAAGAAGCACCGGCUAACUACGUGCCAGCAGCCGCGGUGAUACGUAGGGUGCGAGCGUUGUCCGGAUUUAUUGGGCGUAAAGGGCUCGUAGGUGGUUGAUCGCGUCGGAAGUGUAAUCUUGGGGCUUAACCCUGAGCGUGCUUUCGAUACGGGUUGACUUGAGGAAGGUAGGGGAGAAUGGAAUUCCUGGUGGAGCGGUGGAAUGCGCAGAUAUCAGGAGGAACACCAGUGGCGAAGGCGGUUCUCUGGGCCUUUCCUGACGCUGAGGAGCGAAAGCGUGGGGAGCGAACAGGCUUAGAUACCCUGGUAGUCCACGCUGUAAACGGUGGGUACUAGGUGUGGGGUCCAUUCCACGGGUUCCGUGCCGUAGCUAACGCUUUAAGUACCCCGCCUGGGGAGUACGGCCGCAAGGCUAAAACUCAAAGGAAUUGACGGGGCCCCGCACAAGCGGCGGAGCAUGCGGAUUAAUUCGAUGCAACGCGUAGAACCUUACCUGGGUUUGACAUGGAUCGGGAGCGCUCAGAGAUGGGUGUGCCUCUUUUGGGGUCGGUUCACAGGUGGUGCAUGGCUGUCGUCAGCUCGUGUCGUGAGAUGUUGGGUUAAGUCCCGCAACGAGCGCAACCCUUGUUCACUGUUGCCAGCACGUUAUGGUGGGGACUCAGUGGAGACCGCCGGGGUCAACUCGGAGGAAGGUGGGGAUGACGUCAAGUCAUCAUGCCCCUUAUGUCCAGGGCUUCACGCAUGCUACAAUGGCUGGUACAGAGAGUGGCGAGCCUGUGAGGGUGAGCGAAUCUCGGAAAGCCGGUCUCAGUUCGGAUUGGGGUCUGCAACUCGACCUCAUGGAGUCGGAGUCGCUAGUAAUCGCAGAUCAGCAACGCUGCGGUGAAUACGUUCCCGGG
rnacentral:rRNA from 1 species